GAUUUUGUGCUGCAAUGGUUAGCAAUCUAGACUCUGAAUUUAGUGAUUUAAAUUCAAAUUUCAGUAGAAACU
rnacentral:tRNA from 1 species